rnacentral:rRNA from 1 species
CGAACGGGUGAGUAACGCGUGAGGAACCUGCCUCAAAGAGGGGGACAACAGUUGGAAACGACUGCUAAUACCGCAUAAGCCCACAGCUCGGCAUCGAGCAGAGGGAAAAGGAGCAAUCCGCUUUGAGAUGGACCCGCGUCUGAUUAGGUAGUUGGUGGGGUAACGGCCUACCAAGCCGACGAUCAGUAGCCGACCUGAGAGGGUGACCGGCCACAUUGGGACUGAGACACGGCCCAA